UUUUCCUUUGCUGAAUACUCUUUCAUUAGGACAAUAUUAAGUAAGUAUUCCAUAAAUAAGACGUAGCUUAACUAGUAAUACUCAGUUCCCAUGACACUGUGGCCACACUGGAUCUCUCCAGCAUCGUAUGGAUGACCUUACCUCUCAGCAGCAGCAGAGGUUCAAUGAAGGACCAGCAUGUCAUUCUGAUCUAGCUAAAACACAUCAAAAUGGUGUAUCUGAGAAGAUGAUGGAUCAGAUAGUGGAAUUACAUUGGGAUAUACAAACUGGUCUUCCUCCUGGAAGAGCAAGAGAAACCAAG
rnacentral:lncRNA from 12 species